UUGUAUCCACUGACAGACCUUGAACAAUCUAACACUGUUCUUCUGGUUUGCACUGGGAUGGGAAAGAAAAAAAUCCCUGUGCUUUCUGUCUGUGUGUGUGGCAGCCCAGAUUGAAUAGCAGACUACAUUU